GUUUUAUUUAUUAAAUUUUUUUCUUUUUUUCCUAAGAAGUAUAUUUUUAAACACAAUAUUGUAUUUGAGAACUGCUUGGAUUAUAACCCACAAGGUUUUUUAAUUUAAUAUUCAUUGUUUUCUACAAUAAUGGUCAAAUAUAGAGGUAGAAUAAAAUGGUAAAUUAAACCCCAUAUGUGCAUGCUACCAAGGUUCAAAAUAUUUCAAUUUUCUUCAAUUGAUUUAGUUGUCCUUUUUUCUCUAAAUAAUUUCAAACAAAUUUUCCAUGGGUCAAGGUAUUUUGUUGAUAUAUACUGCAAUAUUUGUCUUUCAUGGUACAGGUAUUUUCACAUGUAACUAUGAUGCUAUUCUGUUGUAGUAUUUCCCUGAAUAUUUCUGAGUUUCUCCAAAUUAUUAUUUAGAAUUUAUUUUUUGGAUAAGAUUUUAACCAAGGUUCACAUACUGCAUGUAGUUGUGACAUGCCCUAAGCCAGGCCAGAACACUUCCUUUUUUUCUUUCUUUUUUAUUUGCAAACCUACUUUCUUUUGGAAUGCCCCACAUUCUGGCUGUUUCUGUUUGUUCUCUUAUAAAAUCAUUUAGCUAAUUUCCGUAAUCCCUGCAUUUGUUGAAAAUUGAAGGUACAUCUGGAGUUUCCUUAUUUUAAAAAAUUUGAAAUGAACACUUUAUAGAUAUUCACUGAGAUUCAUAUUGUUUUACAUAAGGAAACACAAAAUAUCCUAUUGCCUAUUUUUAGAGAAGCUAAGAUUCAAUUGUGGUUCAGAAGACAACAGCUUCUUUUUUCCUUUUUGAAAUUUUCCAUCAAGGAGUCAUUCAAAAAUUUCAAUUAUUACUUAUUGUUUCCGAAAUAAUUAUUUCUGAAGAAUUGCCAAAUGUAGAUUUUGAAAUAUUUUUACUUUCCUUGUAUUUUGGCUUUCAUGAUACAUAUUUGUUCUUAGCUUUCUUCAAAUUUAGUUUUUCUUCUGAAACUAAAAGAAUAUGUUUUUCUAAUUGUUUGCUAAUAUUUGUCAGUUUUCACUUUACGUCCUCCUGCUGUCUGGCUAAAAAGAUUAAAAUUUGUUUGCAUUCUAAUCAGUGUUUUUACAAAGCUUGGUAUUUCUCUAUAGAACUUUAAAUCAUCUUUUUACUCUUUUAAUUUGCUUGGUGGACACAUUCUUCUGAUAUGCAUCAUUUUCUAUUGAAUUUUAGGUAUAUUUUAUUUUUUGUCUUAAAUAAAGUUUUUGGGUUUAAUUGUAAUCAAUUUUUGUUUCUAAUGUCUAAAUGAGACAAGUGUCCUAAAUUAUGAAGAAAAGUUUUAUCCCAACUAUUUUGUAUUUUCAUAUAUAUGUAUAUAUUAUAUAUUUUAUAUAUAUUAUAUAUUUCAUGUAUAUAUUAUAUAUAUAUAUAUAGAGUUCUUGGUAUUCUGAACACCAUGGUUCAACUUCUGCUCAAUUUCUUUAUUUAUUUGAGGAUUGUGAAGAAGCUGGCUAAAUCUUUUUUUUUUCUUUCAUAAGGGGAGACAUAUGAUUCACUGCUUGUCUUGGUAUUGUCAUAUCUCUAAUAUGAUUCUCUAUGAUGCUCAGUCUUCAGGAUGUUUUCUCACCAAAAACUCUUCUCAAGGAAAUUCAUUUAUCUUACUAUUUUAUUUCUCCUUCACUUCUGUCCUAUAAAUAAGAUAAUUAUUUUCACUGAAGUCAAGAAUACAGACUUAAGAAGUACUGUAGAUUUAUAGAUUUAAGUGUGUAUUUUAUACCUGUCACACCUUUGCCCUAUGAAACCCAAAAAUCUUUCCUUUUUUGUUAUGUAUCAUCAAUUUCUUUAUUUUUCACAAGUUUUUCAGUAGAAAAGACCUCUAUACAUAAAGUUAAGGACUGAUGAUAUCUAAUGUUUAUUUAACACAAUGUUUUGCUAAUACUGUUCCUUAAAACCACAUAUGUCAAAAAUGUUUGGAUGCAUUUGAAUCUAUUAGUCUAAUGAUUAGAGUGCUUUUUCUUAACUUUCUAUUUCCAAGUUAAUGGGUAUAAAGUAUAAUAUCUUGUUUAUCAAGCAUGGUAGUGUUGCCUUUUUAUUAAGUCAAUUAUAAUCUCAGGAACUUAAAAUCGAUUUCAAUGAUUCUGCUAUAUUUCCAUUUGUGUCUGAACUUGAGGUAAUGUAAAUUGCAGAGCUGUGUUCGUCUGCUGAGGAAGAGAGAAAGCCAGUCUACAGGGAUAAGAAUGAAACAGACAUACAAAGUGCUGCAGAGAUGAGAGGUCAUGUGGCUCCAGGGGGAGAGGGAAAGACUGAUGAUUUGGAAGCUUUGAUCCUUGAUAGAUUUCUGUAUCCCGUUUCUCAGCCCUCAGGAGGCCUAAAUGUACUGUCUGCCCUUGUGUUACAUAAAAUACUGUUGCAUCCUUUACUUACAUCGUUUUAAUAAAUUUAUCUUCUUUUCUGUUCUUUUAUUCUAUUUUGUUUUUGCUCAAGGCAUUUUCAAUUCAGUUCUUUAAUGAGCCAAGAAUUAACCUUGACUAACAUGAAUAUUAUUUGCAGCUUAUAUUGUAGAGUGAUGAAUUUAAGAAAUUGUGUGUCACUUACUAUACAAUUACGAGAAGUAAAUGAUAACACACAAAAUAGUUUUCAGUUGUAUUUUUCUUAUCCUUGCUAUCUCAACUUCACUUUUAGUUCUACUUGUUUAAUCGUAUUUCUAAUUCCUACUGCGUCAAAUUGAUUAGACUAUCAACGAUUCCUGAAGUAAUUUACUACUGAUGGCGUGGAAAUCUCUCACUGUUGAAAGAAAAGGGGAAAAAAAAGAGGGUGAAUAUUCUGAGUCAAAUAGUUGUUAUGGUGGCAUCUUUAUACUGCCAGCAUGUGUUUUAAUAUUUUAAUCACUUUUGCUAUUUGAAUAAAUUAAAAUGGAAAUACUGCUUCUAAAAGCAACAAGGUGCUUUUACUUUCAUUUAAAGGUAUACAAUUCCAUUCUUUAUAGGAAAGCACUGAUCAUACAUUCAAAAGAAAACUGUGUGAAGAUUUAUUACAAUUACAUGAUAUAAAUCUGAUUUACAUAAUUUUUACAGACUAUAUUAUAUUAUAAUUACAUAAUAUAAAUCUUAGUUGAAUUAUUGUCAUUAUUAUGCCAGUUUUAUAAUAUAAUUUUGUAAACCAGGUAAUAAAAUAUCUGGCUUAUAGCACAUAUUUGGUAACUGAUUAUAUUUAACAUUAACCUGGAGAAGAUAAAUGUAUAAUGUAUACAUUAAUGCCGCGGUUUGCCACAGUUACUAUGGGACUGAACAAAUGAGGACAAACGCAGAAAUGAAAACUUAAAACAAAAGUAAGUAUUUUAAAGGAAGGGUAACAUGGGGAAGAAGAGGUCUCCCUUCUUCUAAUGAGCAAAGGCAGCCCCCUGGCCUCUACAGCCCUUCGUAUUUAUUGGGUAGAAAGAGCAAGGAGCAGGAGGUAACGAUUGGUCAGCUGCUUAAUUGAUCACAGGUUCACAUUAUUGAGAACAGGCUUCAGAUGUGCCUAAUUACAAGAAACACUUGCGCCUGGGGUGUGGCUGCCCUCAGCAUUCCUUCUGGGUGGCAGACGCAGUUUGUCAGUUUGCCAACAAUCUCCUUUCGUGAGAACAGUUUGCUAUUUACUCAUGUAGCCUCCAGUGGCAUACUGAGUUGAUCACGACCCUCACUCUUUCAUCCUGCAGCACUUAAUAAUAGUCAUUCUUUCUUUAGGUACACUGUCUCAUGUGAGUUACUAAAUACAGGGUAUUAAGAAAAAGUAUAAGCAGGUGUCUCAAAACAACAUUUAGAAGAUGGGAAAUUAUUUUAAAGUGAUUCUAAAGCUUUGAAUACUUUGGUGGGUAAUACGCAUUAAAGUUUGAAGAACUAUCUUCUCAGUUGAGCUUAGGGCUUUUUUGGUGUCUCCUGGAAGACCAGUUCCCUUCAUGGUUUCACUAUUUCCUCGCUUUAAACAAAUUUGUAUUCCUUUUAUAUCAUUCUAAGAUGUUCUAUUUAAUUAAAAUGCUUGAUUGCAUACUACUUAGUGAGUCAACUUAUAUGAGAUAAUAUGUUUUUAUUUUUUAAUGUUUGACCAAUAACAUGACUUUAAUAUUUAAACAUUUCAGGUUAAUACAAGCUGAAAUAGGAGCUAUUUUUGAGUUAAUGCAGAUGCUCCUGAACUCACAUUCUACAAAUAAACCUGUCUGUUUACUAAAGUAUUUUAGGCUCAUUAAGAGAUUCUUUGGUUUUUUGAGGAAUCUCCACAGUUUUCCAUAAUGAAUGUACUAAUUUACAUCCCCACCAGCAGUGUACAAGGAUUCUCCUUUCCUCCACAUCUUCAUCAAAGUUUGUUAUCUUUCUUCUUUUUUGUAAUAGUUAUUCUAACAAGUGUGAGGUACACCUCAAUAUAAUAUUAACCUAAGUUUCUGAAGAAUCAGGGAGAUUAGUUCUAAGUUGAUUUGUUAUAGGUUUCCAACUACUUUAAUCACAGUGUAUGUGAGUACAAAACUGUAUAUGCACGGGAUAUUUUGCAGUAUAGAAUGUGUGCCUUUUUACCUCCCUUGUAUAGUAAGAAUAAAAUUUUCUCCUAAUAGUCAAAAUCCAUCACAAAGACAACAUAGUGAAAUAUUUUUUGCUUGUUGAUAUGUUGCUAUAGAAAGCCCAGCAUGUCUAUGUGCCAGUCUCAACUUCCAGUUCAGCAAAAUCUGUUAUAUCCUCUGGUGGAAGCAUUCCUCACUUUGGAACUAAGACCUUUAGAUCAGUAGAGAUUAAAAUUCUGGGGACAAGAUGCCAACAUUUUGCUAGUAGAUAAUUAAGAAAGAUAGUGAGUAGAACCAUUCUUGUCUCAACCUCUUAAUUGCCACACCAAUAAAUCCUGGUUAUGGGUAAAACAAGGCAAUAUAUUCAUCGCUAAUUGAGAACACUUACUGUGCCCCAGAAGACAUUUGCCUGCACGUAUAAGUCUAAGUCUUCAAAAGGUUAUCUGCUAUCCUAUCAAGUCAUUGCUUCAGAAUACCAGAGAAUAUGACAAAAACCAGUACGUUUCAUGAGAGUGGGCCUUUGGGCUCAUUAUACAGCAUAUAUUUAAUAUGCUGUAUAAUGUCUUUCUGUAUAGUGCCUUGAUCACACAUGAUGGUAUUUGUAAUACCAGAUUGGUACAAAAGUAAUCGUGGUUAUUGCCAUUAAAAUGUAAUGGCAAUUACUUUUGAUGGCAAAAACCAAAAAUGGCAAAAUUUGCCAUUACUUUUAAUGGCAAAAACCACAUUUACUUUCACACCAAUCUAAUAUCAUGAUAAUGGAUAAAGCAAUAUGUGAGUUCAUGGAUUGUGGGAGAAGCAUUGCAGACAGAAGAGACAAAUUUAAACUUAUACCUAGAGUGCAUACCUAUUACACUACAAACAAAACUCUACUUCUUCCAUGUUGGAAGGUCUAAUUUCUGCCAUACUGAGGAAUAAUUCUUGAUUCCUGAGGUUGGCAGAUUUGACACUCAGCAGUGGUGAGAACCAGGUCACCUUUAGUGAGUGGAAGUCCAUGUGGAUUAACCUCUAUUCUUAUCAUCAUGGCCACUUUAUUCAGAACAGUGAGCCAUAACAUACAUUCCUGGGAAAAGUGUCUGCCUAGCAUUCACAAAAUUGUCAUUCUUUUCACUUUAUUUUAAAAAUUCUUUUCUAGCAGAGUAAUUCUUCAGUGAGUAUUGGUAUAGGAUAUAAAUAUCUUUAUAUACUGUUUCUAUCAGGCAGAUCUGUCCAAAUACUUUUGUUGCCAAUUUUCCGAUUGUGUAUUUUUUCAGAUCUUUGACAAAACAGACAGGCCAUUAGCUACAUUUCCCUGUUGGUGGCGAUUUGGUUAUUUUCAUUUCAGAGUUCAUUUUGAAUGGUUUUUAUGAGCAUUAUUGCAUAAGACUUUGUGUUCAAUUAUUAUCAGUAAAUAUUUACAAGUGUAAUUGCUGGAUCAUUCAGUACUGUAAGUGUAGCUUUAUAAAAUAUUAUCAUGCAAUUCUCCAAAGUAGUUGAAGAGUCAUUUAAGAAAUUUUGAGUUUUGCUACAUUCUCACCAAUAUGUGUCAUGCCAGCUUUUUAAGAUUUCAGACAUUCUAGUGAGUUUAAUUGGUAUCUCAUGGAGGUAUUAAUUUGCAUGUCUUCAUUAUUAAUGACAUUCAGUACUUCCUGUACAGUCAUUAGCCAGUCUUAUAUCCUCUUUUAUAGGUGGUUCGUUGAUGUGCUCAAUAGGAAAUCUCAGUCCCUCUCCAGGUGUAGCCCUCCACAGAAAUGCUUGAGCAUCCUUAUAAUAUUGCUGUGGAAUUUCCCUAAAACAAUUAGAAAGAGAGAGGAAGACAGAGGAGGGCAGAGGGAGGGAGGGAGGGAGAGAGAGAGAGAGACAAAGAGACUGAGAGUAUAAGCUUGUACCUAUCCCUUUUGUUUAUUUUAUCUUAUUUCCAAAUUUUAAGUUCAGGAGUACAUUGCAGGAUGUACAGGUUUGUUAAAUAGGUAAACAUGUUCCACAGUAGUUUGCUGCACAGAUCAUUCCAUCACCUUGGUAUUAAGCUCAGGUUGUUAACUUGAGAUCUUUCUAGAUUACUGAUGUGAGUAUUUGGUGCUAUAAACUGUCCUCUUAACACUGCUUUAGCUGCAUCCCAGAGGCUCUGGUACAUUGUAUAUUUGUUCUCAUUAGUUUCAAAGAACUUCAGGAUGACUGUCUUAAUUUUAUUAUUUACCCAAAAGUCAUUUAAGAGCAGGAUGUUCAAUUUGCAUAUAGUUGUGUGGCUUUGAGUGAAUUUCUUAAUCUUGAGUUCUAAUUUGAUUGUGCUCUGGUCUGAGAGGCUGUUUGUUGUGAUUUCAGUUCUCUUGCAUUUGCUAAGAAGUGUUUUACUUUUGAUUAUGUGAUCAGUUUUAGAGUAAGAACUGUGUGGCAAUGAGAAGAAUGUAUAUUUUGUUGUUUUUGGGUGGAGAGUUCUGUAGAUAUCUAUCAGGUCCACUUAAUCCAGAGCUAAGUUCAGGUCCUGAAUAUCUUUGUUAAUUUUCUGUCUCAAUUACCUGUCCAAUAUUGUCAGUGGGGUGUUAAAAUCUCCCACUAUUAUUGUGUGGGAGUCUAAGUCUCUUUGAAGGUCUUUAAGAAAUUGCUUUAUGAAUCUGAGUGCUUCUGUUUGGGGUGCAUAUAUAUUUAGGAUAGUUAGCUCUUCUCGUUGAAUUGAACCCUUUACCAUUAUGUAAUGCCCUUCUUUGUCCUUUUUGAUCUUCGUUUGUUUAAUGUUUGCUUUGUCAGAAACUAGGAUUGCAACCCUGCUUUUUUUUGUUUUCCAUUUGCUUGGUAAAUUUUCCUCUACCCCUUUAUUUUGAGCUGGUGUGGCUUUCCAUUCUGUGUCUUUUAACUGAGACAUGUAUACCAUUUACAUUUAAGGUUAAUAUUGUUAUGUGUGGGUUUGAUCCAGUCAUCAUGAUGUUAGCUCGUUAUUUUGCAGACUUGUUUAUGUGGUUGCUUUUUAGUAUAACUUGUCUGUGUAGUUCAGUGUGUGUUAGUAGUGGCUGGUAAGGUUUUCCCUUUUCAUAUUUAGUGCUUCCUUUAGGAGCUCUUGUAAGGCAGGUCUGGUGGUAACAAAUUCUUUCAGCAUUUACUUCUCUGAAAAUAAUCUUAUUUCUCUUUUGCUUAUAAAGCUUAGUUGGGCCAGAUAUGAAAUUCUGGGUUAGAAAUUCUUUGUUUUAAGAAUCUCUUCUGGUUUGUACAGUUUCCACUGGGAGGUCUGCUGUUAGUCUGUUACACUUCCCUUUGUAGAUGGCCUGGCCUGACCUUUUGCUCUGGUGGCACUUAACAUUUUUUUUUUUUCAUUUUGACCUUGGAGAAUCUGAUGAUUAUGGGUCUUGGGGAUGAUCUUCUCAUGGAGUAUCUUACUGGGGCUUCUGAGUUUCCUGAAUUUGAAUGUUGGCCUGUCUUGUUAUGUUGAGAAUGUUCUCCUGGAUGAUAUCCUGAAGUAUGUUUUCCAAGUUGGUUCUAUUCUCCCUAUCCCUUUCAGGUAUCCCAAUCAGUUGUAGAUUUGGUCUCUUUACAUAAUCCCAUAUUUCUCAGAGGUUUUGUUCAUCCCUUUUCAUUCUUUCUUCUCUAUUCUUGUCUGCCUGUCCUAUUUUAGAAAGACAGUCUUCAAGCUCUGAGAUUCUUUCCUUCGCUCUCUCUAUUCUGCUAUUAAUACUAGUGAUUGCACUGUGAAGUUCUUGUAGUGUGUUUUUCACCUCUAUCAGGUCUGUUAUGUCCCUCUCUAAACUGGCAAUUUUGUCUGUGAGCUCCUGCAUUGUUUUAUCAUGAUUCUCAGUUUCUUUGCAUUGUGUUACAACAUGCUUCUUUGGCUCAGGGAAGUUUGUUUUUAAUCCACAUUCUGAAACCUAUUUUUGUCAUUUCAGCCAUCUCAGCCUAAGCCUAGUUCUGAGCCCUUGCUGGGAGGUGUUGUGGUCAUUUGGAGGAAAAGGGGCACUCUUGCUUUUUGAGCUUUUCAGUAUUGUAGAAAGAAUCUCACUCUGUCACCCAGGCUGGAGUGCAGUGUAUGAACAUGGCUUACUGCAGUCUUGACCUCGUGGGCUUAAGUGAGCUUCCCUCCCCAGCCGUCCAAGUAGCUGGGACUGCAGGUGUGCACCACCAUGCCUGGAUAAUUUUUUCUAUUUUUUUUCUAGAGAUAGGAUCUCUCUGUGUUUCCCAGGCUGGUCUCAAACGCUUGGGCUCAGGUGAUCCUCUUUUGAAGGCUCAGCCUCCCCAAAUGCUGGGAUUACAGUUGUGAGUCAUGGCACCCAGCUUAUAAAUUAUUUUUUAAAUGGUGACAGGCACCUACAAUCAUCUUCAAAAUGACAUGUUGAAGAAUCUGGGCAUAAGCUGAGGAGUUACUGAAAAACUUGUUGGUAGGUCAUUUAGUAAACCCAGUCAAUCAUCAAGACCUAUUGAUUCUAUUUCUAAAUUCUAAUGACUUAUUUCUGACCCCUCAUAGAGAUCCUGUGAUCAUCCAGUCCUUAUUUUUCCUCUCUUUCCAUCAGUUCUCCUCACACAUUCGCCUCCUGUUCAUUUGGUGCUGAACACCAUGCUGCUUCCCGCUCUGCUCUGUUGCAUCUGUUAUCAUUUGAUGAUACUAUGCUAUCUUCCUAGGGCACUUCUCCUUCAGUUCUCAACUCAAACAUGAUAACACAAAUACCCCUUUCAAAUAUCCAGUCAAAGAGCAGUUACUUUCCUUUCUUUAUGAAAGCACUAGCCUUUAAAGUCUUCUGUGAAUAUCUCUACAUAUGACUGCUCAUUGACCUCUUGCUUAUCAGUGUGGAAGUACUUAUUAUACUGUACAGUAAUGCACUUAUUAUCUAAUCCUAUGCUUCACUAACUUCAGAGUAAUGCACCUGUUACUCGAUUGCUUGCUUCACUAGACCAUAAGCUUCUUAAGGACAGCACUUCAAAACACGACAUAUCACAAGAGCUCAAUAAACUGUUACGUGAAUACUCAAAUUCUUGUUUUAUAACUCCUGGGACAGAGUUCCUCCAAAGGUUUAUAAAGAAACUAAUGUUAGUGUAUAAUUUAAGCAGAAGGAUGAAGAAAUUGUGUGUAAAAAAGCUAGUUAUGUUUUAAUAUAUUGUGAUUCCAAUUUUUUAAAUGUAUUUUUAUUUUGCAACCAAAUAUUGGUGGCCAAUGGCAGUCUCAGUUACAGACAAAGCAAUUAUACAGCAUUAAAACUGUAUCUGAGUAUACACUGAAGCAUGUGUACCGCCAGCAGAGAAUAAAUAAUACUGUCACAACAAAUUGCUUGAACAUAGAAACUACAGAGAGGUCGUUCAGAUCACAAAACUCAUUGAUCUCCUUUGGCAUUUCGCACAACUGGGAAUAAUGUGCAAGGACUUUGGUGUUGUCUAUGUUCAGUGUUCUGUCUGAAUUUCAAAGACAAUCUUUUGGACGUGAUAACAAUCCUAAAGGUGUUAUGUACUACUUGGUAAUCAAAAUGGCAUUUUCAUUACUAUCGGUGAGCUUUUAAAUAUCUCCUUUGGGAUUCUCCAAAGAGAAUCAAUUUCAUUUGAACAAAACACUUUUGAGUACAGAUAACAUACAUGAAGGCAUGCCUUCAAAACAUUUGUAAAAAAUAAUCGGUGAGAGUAGUGUCAAAUAAAAUCCUUAAGUUGACUAUAAACACUUUAAAACCACAUUUUCUUAAGGUGAGAUCUUGACACAAGUUCAUUUGUAUCAGUCAGAUUUAUAAUUGCCAAAUAUUGCAGAUAGACAAAAUCGUAAUUUAAUAAAUGUAUAUUGACAUUCCUAAGUUAAUAAAUGUAUAAUGACAUGCCUAAGUUAAAGUAUUUAUGUUUAUCAAGGAGAAAGCCUAUAUACUAAAAUCUACAGCUUAUAAACUUACUUUUAUCUGUUUAUUAGAAUAUAAAUUAAAUCACAUGUUAAUAUGUGUCAUAUCUUCUUUAGAAUACCUUUAAGGAAUUAAACAUUGCAAAUGUCAUUCAAACCCACAUAUUCCCCUCUUUAAUUCUGUUUCCCUUGUUCCUUUUCCCCCAAACAAUGACUGUGUGGUUUUUUUUACAGUAACCCUCAGAAGUAUUUUUAAAUGAUUACUAAAUGUAUUUGAAUCCGUAAACAACUAUAAAAAGUAUUGUAUUUUUAAACUAUUUUGGAAAUUAUAUCAGUCUAUAUUCCCGUCUUUUAGUUAAACUGUUUUUGUGAUAUGUUCCUGUUUAUACAUUUGAUUCUAAUUUCAUUUUAAUAGUUACAGAGUAUUCAUUUUACAUCUAUAACUCAACUUAUGUCAGCAUUUUUUAUUUAUGGAUGAAUACCUAUUUGUUUCAUUUUUCUAAAUGUCUUCCAUUAAAAAAUGUUUCAGUAAAUGUUAUCGUACAUAUUUCCUCAUAUACGUAUGCACAGAUUUUACUAAGGCACAUAGAUAGAAGUAGCAUUGUGAAGUUCUAGACUUUGUACAUUUUCAAAUGUUAUCUACUGUAAAAUUUCUCUGUAAAAUGAUUGUGACAAUUUGCAUGUAUUCUAGCAAUGCAAAAAAAUUCCUAUUUUUGCAAUAUUUGUUAAGAUUUUGCAUUAUCAAUUUUUUGAUGUUGCUACUAAGCAAUCAAAUUGUACACCACAAAAAUUUUAAACAUUUUUAAUUAUAGAGUUUAUUAAAGUACAUCAAAUAUACAUAAAAGCAUACCCAGUAUAAUGCACAGCUUGAUUUAUUUUCAUUAAAAACACAGAAUUGUAGCCAGCAUCUCAAAUAGAGAACAUUGCUACAUUGCUUGGUCCCCAGAAGCCCCUAUGUUCAUCUCUC
rnacentral:lncRNA from 10 species